CACUCUUUCUGUAUACAUUUACAUGCAUAUACACAUAUUUACGUGUGUGGAUGUAUACUUCCCGUAAGCAGUACUAAUCUGCCCCCUUCCCCCCCACCUCCUCUCAGCUCUUUCUUUUCUACAUUUCCCUUGAAUUACUUGCCAUGUGCAUCUAUUCCCAGUCUUUAAUAGGUACAUCAUAUAUCUUACUAAAAUAUCAUUAGUCAUACAUCAUUAUUCUUUCCUGGCUUUAUCAAUACUUAUUUUUCUAAAGAAAUUCACCUUGCACUUCAGAUUUCACCGAGUUGUCUGUACCCUAGAGUUUCUAUUUCCUUUUUUUGCAUUUCGGUCUUUCCUCAUUUUGUACCAGUAGGGGACAUGACGUGCCCGGCAUUUGUUGCAUUUCCCUUGCUUAUUUGGUAUGUCGUCUUCUCAGUGUUUCUUUUUAUUACUGGCAUUUAAUUUUAUAGCGAAGUAUUUACAUUAGAUCGCCGUGAUGCUCUUCUUUGCCUGAGUCCAGCACCUGUCCAGCUAGAGUAUUAGUUAGGUUAAUACAGUAGUGUAAUAUGCUCAAGCCUGUUUGAGUAAUUUAAUCUUUAUGUUUUGUUUCAUGGUGAUAUAAUGUACUCGCUGUCAUGUGACGUGAAUGAUGGAAACAUAUAUUUGAUUAAAAUAGAGAUGUGAAGUACUUUGCAAAACCUACAGUAUUCAGGUCUUCGUUUAUGAUGUCUUCAUUUUAUUUAUUUUAUUUUUUGCAGGUAUUACCGGUACUCAUACAGAUCGCCAUACAGAUGCUACUGUUCUACGUGCGUGCGGUACAGACUCUAUCGGCCUUACAGCUACUUGUACAAGUACCGCCCUUGCCGAUUCUCAUGCUACCCUUACCGCCCCCUCCACCACUACACGAGAACCUACCUGGAUCCCUGUGACCUUCUUGAUGACGACGACCUCAACCCGAGAUCCUCCUACAAGCUCCCGAAAUUGAAAGUAACUUCCUCCAACCCAAAGGACGGCACGAGCGAAGACUCCGACCUCUUGGAUGGAUCUCAGGUCGAGGAGAUACAAAGGGGGAUGAACAAGAAGAGUCAGUCGUCAAAGCAAGAGUCUUGGACGAAGAGUAAAGUGAAAAUGGGUGACGCGUCCGGGGAUAGUGCCGGAGGCGGGAGAGAGAGGCAGCACGAAGAGGGAAAGGCACCCAGUAAAGAAGGUGGCCUGGGGAAGGAGAGCCAGUCAAGUGGAGAGUUCUUCGAUCUAGAUUAAUUUGCCAAUGGUUGAGGAAAAUUUAUUUGUAGAGUGUAGUAUCUACUGUGAUGGCAUCAAGCUCCAUUUUGUCAGCACAAGGAGAAUGUUUCCCAUAGUUAAAUGACAUUAAAUCAAUAACAAAGUUUGAAAGGAAAUGUGUAGCUGGAGUUUACUCUGUGAGGAUGCGUUCACAUCUUUUGAGCAUCUGUGCCUAGAGCUCUAUUUUUAGCAUUUUCUUUAUAUAAUUUGUAUCAUAGUGGCUUUCAUGUGCACAAAUGUAGAGCUCUUUGUUGUAGAUUUUUUUCACCAAUACAAUAUAGAACAUCUUUAGAAUGUUGAAAAUUUGGUACUCUGUAAGAAAAAUAAGAAUAUACUUGUUAUUGUACAGACCUUUA